UCUUUGCUGAGGUGAGGAAUUUCUCACAAGU
rnacentral:piRNA from 1 species